GACGAACGCUGGCGGCGUGCUUAACACAUGCAAGUCGAACGAAGAGCGAUGGAAGCUUGCUUCUAUCAAUCUUAGUGGCGAACGGGUGAGUAACGCGUAAUCAACCUGCCCUUCAGAGGGGGACAACAGUUGGAAACGACUGCUAAUACCGCAUACGAUCUAAUCUCGGCAUCGAGGAUAGAUGAAAGGUGGCCUCUACAUGUAAGCUAUCACUGAAGGAGGGGAUUGCGUCUGAUUAGCUAGUUGGAGGGGUAACGGCCCAUCAAGGCGAUGAUCAGUAGCCGGUCUGAGAGGAUGAACGGCCACAUUGGGACUGAGACACGGCCCAGACUCCUACGGGAGGCAGCAGUGGGGAAUCUUCCGCAAUGGACGAAAGUCUGACGGAGCAACGCCGCGUGAGCGAUGACGGCCUUCGGGUUGUAAAGCUCUGUUAAUCGGGACGAAAGGCCUUCUUGCGAAUAGUGAGAAGGAUUGACGGUACCGGAAUAGAAAGCCACGGCUAACUACGUG
rnacentral:rRNA from 1 species